CCUCGGGGAGGCAGCAGGUGGAGGGAAUAUUCCACAAAUGGGGCGAAAGCCUGUAUGGCAGCGACGCCGCGCUGGGCGAAGAAGGUUUUCGGAUCGUAAAGCCCUUUUCUAUGUGACGAGAAAGGACGGUAGCAUAGGAAUAAGUGUCGGCUAACUACGUGCCAGCAGCCGCGGUAAAACGUAGGACGCGAAUGUUAUCCGGAGUUACUGGGCGUAAAGCGCGAGCAGGCGGUUUAGUAAGUUACCUAUGAAAGCUCUCGGCUAAACUGGGAGAGGAUAGGUGAUACUGCUAGACUAGAGUGAGAAAGAGGAAGGUAGAAUUCCGGGUGUAGUGNUGAAAUGCGUAGAUAUCCGGAGGAAUACCAGUGGCGAAGGCGGUCU
rnacentral:rRNA from 1 species